rnacentral:sRNA from 1 species
GUCCGCGUUGUAAUUUGUAGAGGAUGAUUCGGCGAGGGCUCCCGCCUAAGUCCCCUGGAACGGGGCGUCAUAGAGGGUGAGAAUCCCGUAUGCGGUGGGCUGCCUUAGCCAUGUGAAUCUCCUUCGACGAGUCGAGUUGUUUGGGAAUGCAGCUCUAAAUGGGAGGUAAAUUUCUUCUAAAGCUAAAUACCGGCCAGAGACCGAUAGCGCACAAGUAGAGUGAUCGAAAGAUGAAAAGCACUUUGGAAAGAGAGUUAAAAAGUACGUGAAAUUGUUGAAAGGGAAGCGCUUGCAGCCAGACUUGUCCGCAGUUGCUCAGCCGGUCUCCUGACCGGCGCACUCUUCUGCGGCCAGGCCAGCAUCAGUUCGGGCGGUCGGAUAAAGGCCCCGGGAACGUAGCUCCUCUCGGGGAGUGUUAUAGCCCGGGGUGGAAUGCGGCCAGCCUGGACUGAGGAUCUCGCUUCGGCUAGGAUGCUGGCGUAAUGGCUGUAAGCGGCCCGUCUUGAAACACGGACCAAGGAGUCUAACAUCUAUGCGAGUGUUUGGGUGUCAAACCCAUGCGCGUAAUGAAAGUGAACGGAGGUGGGAACCCUCGCGGGUGCACCAUCGACCGAUCCUGAUGUCUUCGGAUGGAUUUGAGUAAGAGCAUAGCUGUUGGGACCCGAAAGAUGGUGAACUAUGCCUGAAUAGGGUGAAGCCAGAGGAAACUCUGGUGGAGGCUCGCAGCGGUUCUGACGUGCAAAUCGAUCGUCAAAUUUGGGUAUAGGGGCGAAAGACUAAUCGAACCAUCGACUACUAGGUGGUUAAGAGGUGGCUGAAAGUGCCCACCUAGUCCCCCCGUCCUCGGACGGGGGGGCGACAUCGCCAAAUUGCGGGGACUCCCUUAGAGCCUCUACUACCGCGGCCGGCCGAAAGGCGCGGUGCAGCACCGGGUUAAUUGCCUAGGGUACGGUAAAAAGGUAGAGGAUUGGGAAAUCCGCAGCCAAGCGCCUAAGUCCCGCGGGAUACGGCGAAGGUUCAGAGACUAGAUGGCGGGGG